rnacentral:rRNA from 1 species
CCUACGGGUGGCAGCAGUAGGGAAUCUUCCACAAUGGGCGCAAGCCUGAUGGAGCAACACAGCGUGAGUGAAGAAGGGUUUCGGCUCGUAAAGCUCUGUUGUUGGAGAAGAACGUGCGUGAGAGUAACUGUUCACGCAGUGACGGUAUCCAACCAGGAAGUCACAGCUAACUACGUGCGAGCAGCCGCGGUAAGACGUAGGUGGCAAGCGUUAUCCGGAUUUAUUGGGCGUAAAGCGAGCGCAGGCGGUUGCUUAGGUCUGAUGUGAAAGCCUUCGGCUUAACCGAAGAAGUGCAUCGGAAACCGGGCAACUUGAGUGCAGAAGAGGACAGUGGAACUCCAUGUGUAGCGGUGGAAUGCGUAGAUAUAUGGAAGAACACCAGUGGCGAAGGCGGGUUCCUGGACAUUAACUGACGCUGAGGCACGAAGGCCAGGGGAGCGAAAGGGAUUAGAUACCCUUGUAGUC